rnacentral:lncRNA from 10 species
GGAUCUGCAAUUGUAUUCCUGUUUCAAGCCCCGUUUUCUUGCAGCUCUUCGGCACUGCAAACCUAACCGCUAAUGGCGCUGUGGGUGGAGAAACGUUUGUUAGGUAGCGUUAUAUAUUGUUAUCUGGUGUUCCCUAUACCGAAAACGGCGGGUCCUGGCCGCCGGGAGGUACUCAGACCAGGCUUCUUACAUCAUGGUUGCAGGAUGGCUGCUACAGCUCUGGACAUCACAUCAAAAUAUGGCAGAAGCUAAAGCAGGAAGACAGAGAAGGAGGCAAAACAGCUUUAUUCACUUGUGGCUCUCAUAUGAAGAAUAAAGAUAUUUCUCGAAACCUU